UCAUUCGGCAUACCACCUUUCCAAUGCCCAAUCUUGUCUGAUCUCAAAAGCUAAGCAGGGUUGAGCCUGGUUAGCAUUUGUAUGGGAGGCCGCUGAGAAUACUAGGUAUCACAGUGGG
rnacentral:rRNA from 1 species